rnacentral:rRNA from 1 species
UACGUAGGGGCCUAGCGUUGUCCGGAUUUAUUGGGCGUAAAGAGCUCGUGAGGCGGUUCGGCAAGUCGGAUGUGAAAUCUCCACGCUCAACGUGGAGGGGCCAUUCGAAACUGCUGUGACUUGAGUCCGGUAGGGGGGUGUGGAAUUCCCGGUGUAGCGGUGAAAUGCGCAGAUGUCGGGAGGAACACCAGUAGCGAAGGCGGCACCCUGGGCCGAUACUGACGCUGAUGCGCGAAAGCCAGGGGAGCGAACAGG